rnacentral:lncRNA from 1 species
GAAGUGUUUGACAUGAUGACCUUAUAAUUGCUUUAUUUAAGGAUGUGAUUAAUGAUCUGUGUUUUGCCAUGUUGUAAUUUGAUAUCGUAUAUGGAGUCUGCAGACAUCUGGCCUCUACCAGAGGGUAAACAUUCAUAAGGCAGCAUCCUACAAUCUUGUACACAGCUCACUGAAGUCACUGCAACAACUUUCAUGAAGAUAUGUGGGAUCUGGCUCAAACAUGAAGCUUUUAAUCAUCACUGAGGACUGCAUGUUGCCUUGUAAAGCCUCAGCCCUUGGAUGAAGAAUGUUGGGUGAGAAACAAGAGUAUCAGUGCCCUAGGCAGUGAUAGACUAACUGAUCAAGGAUGUCUCCUUUUUGGAGAGAAACACUAUCUGUGUUGAUCAGCCAUCCUUUGGUCCACUCUGGCUGGCAGAGAGGACUGCAGUUUGUCAGAGGAGAGUGUACACUAACAACUCCCAACUAG